rnacentral:lncRNA from 1 species
UUCCCCAUGUUAGCCAGGAGAGUCUCAAUCUCCUGACCUCGGGAUCCACCCACGUUGGCCUCUCAAAGUGCUGGUAUUACAGACGUGAGCCACCGCGCCCGGCCUAUUUUUAAAUAGAGACGAAGUUUCACCAGUUGACCAGAGAUUGGGGUGGUUCUUACUGUGUCCGGAAUUCGUGGGCUCUUCGUCUGACUUGAAGAAUGAAGCCACGGACCCUCACGGUGAAUAUCACAGUUCUUAAAGGCGGCGUGGCCGGAGUUUGCUCCUUUUGAUGUUGUGUUCGGAGUUUCAUCCUUCUGGUGGGUUCGUGAUCUCGCUAGCUCAAGGAGGGAACCUGGAGAUCCUCGCGAGGA